rnacentral:tRNA from 1 species
GGAGUAUAGCUCAGUUGGUAGAGCAACUGACUCUUAAUCAGUGGGUCGUGGGUUCGAAUCCCUCUACUC